UGCCAUCAGCCGCGGUAAUACGGGGGGCGCAAGCGUUGUUCGGAAUUACUGGGCGUAAAGGGCAGGUAGGUGGCUUGUUAAGUCGUCUGUGAAAAUCCGGGGCUCAACCCCGCGAAAUGCAGGCGAAACUGGCAGACUAGAGACCGGUAGAGGCUAGUGGAAUUCCUGGUGUAGCGGUGGAAUGCGUAGAUAUCAGGAAGAACACCGGUGGCGAAGGCGGCUAGCUGGGCCGGAUCUGACACUGAACUGCGAAAGCGUGGGGAGCAAACAGGAUUAGAUA
rnacentral:rRNA from 1 species